AGACCCGAAACCCGGUGAUCUAGCCAUGGGCAGGUUGAAGGUUGGGUAACACUAACUGGAGGACCGAACCGACUAAUGUUGAAAAAUUAGCGGAUGACCUGUGGCUGGGGGUGAAAGGCCAAUCAAACCGGGAGAUAGCUGGUUCUCCCCGAAAGCUAUUUAGGUAGCGCCUCGUGAAUUCAUCUCCGGGGGUAGAGCACUGUUUCGGCUAGGGGGCCAUCCCGGCUUACCAACCCGAUGCAAACUGCGAAUACCGGAGAAUGUUAUCACGGGAGACACACGGCGGGUGCUAACGUCCGUCGUGAAGAGGGAAACAACCCAGACCGCCAGCUAAGGUCCCAAAGUCAUGGUUAAGUGGGAAACGAUGUGGGAAGGCCCAGACAGCCAGGAUGUUGGCUUAGAAGCAGCCAUCAUUUAAAGAAAGCGUAAUAGCUCACUGGUCGAGUCGGCCUGCGCGGAAGAUGUAACGGGGCUAAACCAUGCACCGAAGCUGCGGCAGCGACACUGUGUGUUGUUGGGUAGGGGAGCGUUCUGUAAGCCUGUGAAGGUGUGUCGUGAGGCAUGCUGGAGGUAUCAGAAGUGCGAAUGCUGACAUAAGUAACGAUAAAGCGGGUGAAAAGCCCGCUCGCCGGAAGACCAAGGGUUCCUGUCCAACGUUAAUCGGGGCAGGGUGAGUCGACCCCUAAGGCGAGGCCGAAAGGCGUAGUCGAUGGGAAACGGGUUAAUAUUCCCGUACUUGGUGUUACUGCGAAGGGGGGACGGAGAAGGCUAUGUUGGCCGGGCGACGGUUGUCCCGGUUUAAGCGUGUAGGUGUGUGUUCCAGGUAAAUCCGGUUCACUUUAACACUGAGGCGUGACGACGAGGCACUACGGUGCUGAAGCAACAAAUGCCCUGCUUCCAGGAAAAGCCUCUAAGCAUCAGGUAACAUCAAAUCGUACCCCAAACCGACACAGGUGGUCAGGUAGAGAAUACCAAGGCGCUUGAGAGAACUCGGGUGAAGGAACUAGGCAAAAUGGUGCCGUAACUUCGGGAGAAGGCACGCUGACACGUAGGUGAAGUGAUUUACUCAUGGAGCUGAAGUCAGUCGAAGAUACCAGCUGGCUGCAACUGUUUAUUAAAAACACAGCACUGUGCAAACACGAAAGUGGACGUAUACGGUGUGACGCCUGCCCGGUGCCGGAAGGUUAAUUGAUGGGGUCAGCGCAAGCGAAGCUCCUGAUCGAAGCCCCGGUAAACGGCGGCCGUAACUAUAACGGUCCUAAGGUAGCGAAAUUCCUUGUCGGGUAAGUUCCGACCUGCACGAAUGGCGUAAUGAUGGCCAGGCUGUCUCCACCCGAGACUCAGUGAAAUUGAACUCGCUGUGAAGAUGCAGUGUACCCGCGGCAAGACGGAAAGACCCCGUGAACCUUUACUAUAGCUUGACACUGAACAUUGAGCCUUGAUGUGUAGGAUAGGUGGGAGGCUUUGAAGUGUGGACGCCAGUCUGCAUGGAGCCGACCUUGAAAUACCACCCUUUAAUGUUUGAUGUUCUAACGUGGACCCGUUACCCGGGUUGCGGACAGUGUCUGGUGGGUAGUUUGACUGGGGCGGUCUCCUCCUAAAGAGUAACGGAGGAGCACGAAGGUUGGCUAAUCCUGG
rnacentral:rRNA from 1 species